AACAAUGUGAGUAACUACCUCCCCCAGACUUAAACAACACUGUCCCUAGUGUUGCCAAGCCUAAGAUUGGCAAAUAAAAGAAAAUAAAACUAAAAUAAAUGCAAAAGAAAUAGAAAAAACUCACAAGUGGGUUGCCUCCCACUAAGCGCUUGUUUUCAGUUAUUAGCUUGACUUUGUCGGGGUUCAUGCAUCCGGUUGGUCAGAAAGCGGCACUAAAUGCCUCCGAGAAUAGUGUCUCAUCAUCCAAGGUGGUUUAUAAGCAUUAGGUGUAGGAGAUCGACCAAGUACACGAGGAACAGCAGCAGGGCAUAGUCUAGGUAUGGGUAGUGAAGCUUCCCGAUUCAAAACAGGGCUCAAGAUUGCAGUAGUAAGAUCAACCCGAAAACCAUCCAUUUUUGGCAAGUUCGGACUGUCGUGGCGAGGGGUGUCGAUCGACACCAUGGUGGUGUCGCUCGACACUGAUCCUGAUGCUUGUGUUUCAGCACUUUUUCUGCAAUUUGUCUCAGCGAUCCUCAUCUCUAGCACAAAAACAUCAUCUUCCAAUAACUUAGCAGUAGCUAGACCUUCGCUUUGGUCCCUAGCAGUAAUAUCUUCUGAAUACUCUAUGACUGCCACAUCAUCCAUGGCUUCCUCUAGAGAAAAAGUCUGGCCAUCAAUAGUAGGUGCUCUCCUUAACUUGUCCAUGUCAAAGUUCAUAACCAAAUCACCAACAUGCAGUCCAAUCUUCCCUUUCUGAACAUCUAUAAGAGCACCAGCGGUAGCCAAGAAAGAUAUCCCAAGGAUAAUAGGAUCCUGAGGUUCUUCGCUAUACUUCAAAACCACAAAGUCUGUAGGAAUUAUGCAUUCACCAAUCCUUAUUAGAACAUUCUCUAAAAGACCUUCGGGAAUUCUUUUAGACCUAUCAGCUAGGAUAAGAGAGAUCCUAGUAGGCUUGAAAUCUGUCAACCCAAGUCUCACAGCAACAGAGUAUGGUAUCAAGUUGAUACCUGAGCCAAGAUCACAAAGAGAGUGAGGAAAUCUCUCUGUGAAGAUAGAGCAGUCUAGCACGAAACUUCCUGGAUCAGAUAACUUCUCUGGAAUCUUGCUCUGAAUCAUGGCACUAACUUUUUCAGAAACAAACACUUUCUUCUUCUUCUUCUCUUUCUUACUCUGCGGGGUCUGUUUCAAGAAGAUAGCACCCAUGUCUCUAGCCAGCAAAGCUCCUUCCUCAGGGCUCACUUCAUUUUGGACCAUCCUCUUAACACACUGCUUAAGCAUAGGUGAAUCACGAUCUGCAUGAUCUAAAUGAAUCUCAUUGAUCACCUUUUCCAUCAUUGCCUUGCAUCGAGAUUCCUCUAUCUCCUGUUUAGACUUCCUAGGCUUUGGAAAAGGAACCUUAGGCUUGUAGAUAUUUUCUGUAGAUAGUCACAGAGUUUCAAGAGAAUUUGGGUUUGUCUGAGCGGGAUGUCGAUCGAUACAGGGUUCUGCUGUCGAUACCUUAGUGUCGAUCUCGGUCGGUAUCGGUCCGUCGGGGACCAAAUUCUUGAGAACUGAUGUAGGUGUCGAUCGACACCUUGAGAUGGUGUCGAGCGACACCUGCUGUGCAAGUGCGGUUUCAUCAUCGUCACUUGUUUCCUCCUCCCAAACAUCAUCUCCAUCCCUAAUCAAAAUGGCAUUGCAUCCUUCUCGUUUCUUUACAGUUCCAGUAGUCUGUGCAACCUUAACGUCCAACUUGUUGGUAAAGGUGCUCAAAGCUUCUAUCUUGCCAUUUAGAUCAGUAUAUAAUGCAUCCAUCUUCCCGUUGAAAUCCACUGUCAUGUUCUGCUGACCCGCUAGAAUCUGUUCUAGCAUGGAUUUCAUCUCAGUAUCUGCAGAUGGAGGAGGAGGCGACUGGUAAGAAGAAUGUCCAUAGGUUCUGACGAAACUGAUGUUGCCUUUCUGACCAUACCCAUUGUCGUGCCGGUUACCAUGUGUGUUACCAAACUUCUGACCCAAAUAUCCAGCUCCACUGACGUAAUUCACGCCUUCUUCUUCAUCCGCACCUGGUUCAACUGCCUCAACCUCAGCAGCAAACUUAACAGUCUUCUUGGAAACAAGAAGGUUAUGCACAGAAUCGAGCUUUGCCUUAACUUCAGCAAGUUGAACACCAUCCAUGUUUUGAGCUAGCUUCUUCCUCUCAAAAUCAGCAACUUUAGUGCUGUUGCUGGAAGCUAAAUUCUCAAUCAGUUUGGUGGCUUGAGCUGGAGACCUUGUAUUGUAGUUGCCAUUACUUGCAGCAUCUAAAGCCAUCUGAUAUCUCCAAUCCAAUCCUCUAUAAAAGAUUCCCAACAGCUGAAAUUUGUCAUAACCAUGGUGUGGACAAUCUCUCUGAUACCCCUUAAAACGCACCCAAGCAACCUUGAAAGCCUCUGAGAUCCCUUGAGAAAAGGUAGAAAUCUUUUUCCGCAACUCCUCUGAUCUCGCAUCAUCAUAAAAGUUGNNNNNNNNNNNNNNNNNNNNNNNNNNNNNNNNNNNNNNNNNNNNNNNNNNNNNNNNNNNNNNNNNNNNNNNNNNNNNNNNNNNNNNNNNNNNNNNNNNNNUAGGGUAUCAUUUUAUUUUUUCAACGAUUCCUUUUUCUUCUUCUUUUUUUUUCUUUCUUUUCUGGUUUUUUUUUUUUAUAGCUCUCUUUUUUCUUAUUCGGGUAUCCAUGAGAUCCGAAGUAUGCACGGGUUUACGCGACAUCCCUCAUAUCACUUCUACCUAUAGCCUUUUCCACAGUUUCUUUUAAAGGCUGAAGGGAAGAGAGAAGGAAGGAAUCAUACUUUGAAGAAGUGCAGUGUCUUGUGCGGCUCGAAGAAGAAGUCUAGUCCAAUGUAUUCCAACUCCCAAGGUAAGAGACUAAGUCCAAUUAAGUCCUGAUAAAAGUAGAGACAACGUUAGAUCAACUGGAUAUGCAAUGAAUAAGGGCUUUCAGGCUUGUUGAUACAGCUCAUAGUCAUUCCAAACUUCGGUUCUGAGAUCAAGCAUAAUCAAGAGUCAUAAGAGUGUUAAUCCAAAUCAGAGAAACCGUUAGACUGAGUUCAUAGUUCCCAACAAAAAUUUUGACUCAAUAAAACAAAAACUUUUUGGACUGACUCGAUAAAACUCCAAAAGAAUAAACAAUGUGAGUAACUACCUCCCCCAGACUUAAACAACACUGUCCCCAGUGUUACCAAGUCUAAGAUUGGCGAACAAAAGAAAAUAAAAUUAAAAUAAAUGCAAAAGAAAUAGAAAAGAAAAACUCACAAGUGGGUUGCCUCCCACUUAGCGCUUGUUUUCAGUCAUUAGCUUGACUUUGUCGGGGUUCAUGCAUCCGGUGGGUCGGGAAGCGGCAGUAAAUGCCUCCGAGAAUAGUGCCUCAUCAUCCAAGGUGGUUUAUAAGCAUUAGGUGUAGGAGAUCGACCAAGUACACGAGGAACAGCAGCAGGGCAUAGUCUAGGUAUGGGUGGGACACUUCUUCUACCUGCAACAUCAUCAAAAGAACCAACAAGCGCUCUACGAUAAUCUCGUGGCUUGGUUAACUGCAAAACAGUCUUUGUACCUUUGGA
rnacentral:lncRNA from 1 species